AAUGGAGUCAUUCAAAAGCCUAACUUGAGUGAAAUUUCACAAGGAAUCCAUUGGAGGCAUCAAAAACGAGUUUUGGGAUCGUUUGGCACCAGAAACGAGGCAAAACAGCUGGGCGUUUUUGCUAUUAAUGUUGUUUGGGGUUUCUGUCAUCUUAAAUGCUUGAGUUUAGGAGAAUUCAAGGAUGUUCUUCAAGUUUCUUUCAUGGGACUUUAAUUAUUUGGAGACUCAAAGGAAGGGCAAGCGUGUGGCUGACGGUUCGUGACUACUUAUUUCGGCAUUCCAGAUUACGCAUUGGGUGAGACAUUGAUCCCUCGUUAGCGGUCCCGAGGCAGACUCGAUAGCUUUCCAGGGUGAGCAUAUGGGACUCAGCUACUCGGAUUGGCUAUUCUUCAGCUUUGUCUUAUCUUCUUCCAAGAGACAUUUUAUUUUUGUUUUAGACUAAUUUUAUCAGAAUUUUGGAAAUGUAUUUAUGAUUAGUGCUCUUGUACGAUUCAGACCAUGAG